rnacentral:lncRNA from 1 species
CACAGCUCGGAUCCUGCGUUGCUGUGGCUCUGGCGUAGGCUGGCAGCUACAGCUCCGAUUGAACCCCUAGCCUGGGAACCUCCAUAUGCCGCGGGAGCGGCCCAAGAAAUGGUAAAAAGACAAAAAAAAAAAAAAAAAAAGGAUCUAGUGUUGCUGUGAGCUGUGGUGUCGGUUGCAGAUGCCGCUUGGAUCCCAAGUUGCUGUGGCUGUGGUGUAGGCUGGCAGCUACAGCUCUGAUUAGACCCCUAGUCUGGGAACCUCCAUAUGCCACAGGUGCGGCCCCCAAAAGACAAGGAAACACACACACACACACAUUUUUAGUCAUGUUAUUUUUAAGUGCAUUAAAAAAUGGUAGUGACAUAAUCUGAGGACAAAAAUUUUAUUUAUCUAUCCAUGUAUCUAUCUAUAAUAGUGGCUAUCUUUUAAAUAAAUGACAACAUUCAUACCCUCAAGCAGUAUAUAUAAUGAUGGGAUAUCAUAUCCACUCUAUUUUUAUAAGCUAAAAAAAAAGUCUUGAGUAAAAGACAGUAACUUCCUUGAAGGCAAAAGCAUAUGUAUGUGUGUCAUGUAUGUAUGUGUCAAGCUGUUCCCUCAGAUAGGCACUUAACUCACCCCCUCAUCUCUUUAGAUGGUGGCUCUGGUCUAAACUCAUCAUGACCCACCCUGACUAUGCUACUUACUAAUGAAACCUAUCCUUCUCCCAGUAUUUCUAAUCUCCCAGUCUCUGGUCUACUUUUUCUCCUAUAUUACAAAUUACUUUCUAUCACAGUAUACAAUUUAUUUAUCAUGUUUAUUAUUUACUGUCUUUUCCUGUUAUAAUGUAAUCUCCACAUAAUCAGGGAUCUCUAUCUGUUUUAUUCACCAGCAUAUGGCAAAAGCCUAGAAUAAAGCCCAGAACAUAUCAAUCAUGUGAUAAAGAUCUGCUGAAUUAAGGUGGAACGAAAUGAAUGAGACCAGAAGCAACAACAACAACAAAAUCAAAAAGUUUCUAUGAAGAUAUAACUAUACAUAGCAAUAUGCUAUUUUUUGUAAAUGCAAGUUACCUGUGUUUCGUGGAUGGGGUUGUUAAUAGUAAAAAAAGAUCUGUCUCUAAAGGAUAUGAAAUUCAUAGCCUAAAUCAUGUCUAUCAAAUAAACUUGAUGCAACUUCAUUUCCUGCAGAUCUCUUGCUCAAACGUUACCUCCUUGGAGAAGUUGUCACUGACCACCUUAUCUAAAAGAGCACCCUAUCCCUUUGUCCCUCUCUAGCCCUUAUCUUGCUUCAUUUCCUCAAUAAUUCUUAUCAUUGCAUAAUGUUAUGUUGAAUAUUUAUUUGUUUAUUGUCUAUCUCCUCCAGGCAAAUGGGGAUCUUAUCUGCCUUCCUUACUGCUCUAUUUCCCUGUGUUUGGAUCAGUGCCUGGCACAUAGUAAAUAUUUGCCAGCACUGAAUGCACUGGAAAUUUGCAUGCAUUCAUGUUGUUCUUCAUAUGAGAAUGAUCCAAUUGUUUGUCUCCAAAUCUAAAGUUGCCCAGCAAUCACUUGUAUUAUUACCCCACUAGUAAACAAACAAAAAGUAACAAUUGUUCUUCAUGCUUCAUUUCAUAUUGAGUGAGAUGGUUUGAAAGGUGUGAGUAAAUACAUGCUAGAUAUUAUUCCACCAAAGAUCAAUUAAAUUUAGUAUUAAUCUGAAAGAUUAAAUCCUUAAUCAUAUUAGAUGAAAGUUUUAGAUUUACUCUUUUUUCUGGGUGAAAAUACAACUUUAUUGAAUUAUAAACAAAGACAUCUAAAAUUCUGUGAAAUUGGUUUGAUUUAAAAACUUAAGGCCAAUGUGAAAGAAAAGAGGUAGUGCAGACUCUUUUGCUCUUAAAUUCUGCUUUUCUGUUUAAUAUCUGGACUCGUAGACAAUGUCAAGAUUGAAUGACACAGCUGCCUGUCAUUGUAACAGGUAGCAAAUGCAAAAAGGGGGACUUAUAAAAAUACUAUUCCGUAAAGGGUGUUGUUUACUUUGCCUGGGCCCCAGAAUUUUCACCAAAACUGUCAGUUACAGAUAUGCCUCUAAAACACUUGCAAAGAUGUUUUAAAUUUCUGAAAUUUAUAAAGUUCACAAAAGAAACUGAUAAAUUAUGGAAACCACACUUUGAAAUGAACUAGAUAAUUUAAGCAUAAAUGUUUUUAAGUAUUUUUGUCUUCUUUACUAAAAUGUUUCGAACCGUUGACAGUAUAGACAAGAAAUGUCCCAUUUUUUUCAAUAACUAUUCCCAAUAACAUCAGGUAGAACUUCGCUUCUUCAGAAUGGUGGCUCCUUUAAUACAUGGCACAGCGGAAACGAAUCCAACUAGGAACCAUGAGGUUUCAGAUUCAAUUCCUGGCCUCACUCAAUGGGUUAAGGAUCUGGAGUUGCCCUGAGCUGUGGUGUAGGUCGUAGAUGUGGCUUGGAUCUGGAGUUGCUAUGGCUCUGGCAUAGGCCGGCAGCAACAGCUCCAAUCAGACCCCUAGCCUGGGAACUUGCAUAUGCAGCAGGUGUGGCCCUGAAAAGACAAAAGAC